rnacentral:pre_miRNA from 1 species
AAAAUACUCCUCCGUCCGAAAAAACUUGUCCCAAGCUUGUCCCUCAAAUGGAUGUAUCUAGCACUAACUUGAUGCUAGAUACAUCCAUUUGAAGGACAAGCUUUUUCGGACGGAGGGAGUAGAAG